CUAUUUGAAAUAGGAGGGGUACUUUAGUCAAAUUCUUUCGAGAAAGGCAUACUUUCCCUAACAUUAUUAAACCUACCAUAUUUUUUUAAUUAUGGUAUUACUUUUCCUCAAAAGCUAUUGACAAUAAGCAUGGUCGUAUAGUUCAACAGGGCUUAAACAGAGAAGAAAAGAGAUAAGAGCUAAGAUGACUCGGGGAAAGCAGAAGAUCGAUGCUCAGAAACGAAAUGCAGAGAAGAAUCAGAAGCAAAAGGGCUCGCAAAUCGAGGCCAGAUCCGUUGCUCUCAAAGCCAACUGCCCCAUCUGCAAGGUUCAACUAGCAAACGCAAAACAACUGGGGGAUCAUUAUGCCUCCAAACAUCCUAAAGAAAAACCUCCUACUGAAUCAGAGUGAUUUGUUGUAAAGAAACAAAACAAGCCGGGAAGAAGAAGAGGAAAAAAGGGCUCGGAAUGUGUGUUUUUCCGAGCUUGUGUUGUAUUUGUGAAUGUUGUCAAAAUCAAAAUAUCAAGCUUGUGUGUAUUUGUUAAAAUUGUCUGAAUCUAAACAUUUACUUGCUGAACUUAUUCCCCUACAAGCUUGUGUGUAUAACUAUGAUGGAUGAUUGAUAAAAUAUUUCUAUCA